UACACGUUGACCAGGUGACCAAGGGUAUGGAUAACUGUGCAAGGAAAAGCAAAUUUCUCAGUAGGAAAAACAGAUCAGGUCUAUGGUGUAACAGAUCCAAGUCUCGCACCUGUUGAGGAAAGUCUCGCGUAGUUUGGUGAGACUGUUCCUGCACAUGGUGAGCAAUAGCAGACUGAAGGAGAAGGACAUGGAGGCGGCCGCGCCUCGGCUCGCGAUGAUGCCGUACUGGGUCAGCUGGCGGAUCCCGAAGUCCUCCGCUUCAACCGCGUAAUCUGUGGAUAGUAAAGAUCUGAAGCUGCUUACGGUACGCUCUCUCUACGAACAAGGCGAAUGUGAUGGCGAAGUAGAAGAUGAGGUAGAGGAGCUGCAGCCUCUUGUUCUCCACCCAUCGUUUGAAGGCCUG